rnacentral:rRNA from 1 species
CAAGUAGGCCACAAUGAGAACACCAAGAGGGAGUUCUGGGAAGGCCUGGAAGACAUGGUUAGGAGUGUACCGAUUGGUGAGAAGCUCUUCAUAGGAGGGGACCUCAAUGGCCACGUGGGUACAUCUAACAUAGGUUUUGAAGGGGCGCACGGGGGCUUUGGCUAUGGCAUCAGGAAUCAAGAAGGAGAAGAUGUCUUAAGCUUUGCUCUAGCCUACAACAUGAUUGUAGCUAACACCCUCUUUAGAAAGAGAGAAUCACAUCUGGUGACUUUUAGUAGUGGCCAACACUCUAGCCAGAUUGAUUUCAUCCUCUCGAGAAGAGAAGAUAGGCGUGCGUUCCUAGACUGUAAGGUGAUACCUGGAGAGAGUGUUGUACCCCAGCAUAAGCUGGUG